rnacentral:rRNA from 1 species
AUGCUUCUCCUAAAGACUAAGCCAUGCAUGUCUUCGAAUAAGAGGAAGCAAUUCUCUCUGAAUCUGCGAACGGCUCCGCAUACCAGUUGUAAACUAUAGCAAGCAAGCCAGGGCUUGGCCUUCACGGGUCGAGCCUUGGUAACAUGGAUAACCCUGGUAAUUCUGAGGCUAAUACAAGAACGUAACCCCUGGCUGACUGGGUAACUGGAAGGCUGGGAGACGUGCGAGUUGUGUCGUGGAAUAUCCAGGAGAGGACG